rnacentral:rRNA from 2 species
GAGAAGACCCCAUUGAGCUUUACUGAAGGUUUAUAUUGUUUGAGUUUAAUUAUUGUGUAGAUUAUGUGGGUAAUAAAUAUUAAUUUAAUGUUUAAUGAAAAACCACUCUUUUAAUUAAAAACAAAUGAAUCCGAGGCCACCGGAAGGUGGCCUCGCCAUGUAAAUCAGACAGUUUGGUUGGGGCGACCGCCUUCUAAAGAGUAACGAAGGCAAACAUAAGGCUAAUAUAAUAUAAUAAAGCCAGACAGUAAGGAGGAUCUUCCUAACUGGCACGGAGCGGGGAAGCAACAGCAAGCUGUUACUCGAAAGUACCCUACGCUCCGCUGUGUUAUAGCGACCCGUUUGUUGAAAGUGGAAUUGUUAACGAUCAAUGGAUAAAAGUUACCAUGGGGAUAACAGAGUAAUAUCGUCUGAGAGUUCAUAUCGACGACGGAGUUUGCUACCUCGAUGUUGAAUUGUGGUAUCCUGAGGGUGUAGCCGCUCUCAAGGGUUGGACUGUUCGUCCAUUAAAACCAUACAUGAUUUGAGUUCAGACCGGCGUGAGCCAGGUCGGUUUCUAUCUACAAUUUGGGGAGGAGGCAGGGUAUACCAAUCUUCCAGUACGAAAGGACCGAAGCAUUUGCUGUCCUCUGGUGUUCCAAUUAAUAGUUGGGCAGUUACGACAGUCAAAAUUAAAUCACUGAAAGCAUCUUAAGUGAGAGAUUUAUGUGGGUCUGUGCCUCCUAUAAGAGUGUUUUAGAUAAAGACGUUGACAGGGCCUGGGUGAUCAGCUUCGGGUUACUAACCAUCUUUAAUACUAGUUUAAC